GACGAACGCUGGCGGCGUGCCUAAUACAUGCAAGUCGAACGCGUCUACGUUAAUGAAAUCAAUGUGCUUGCACGGCGAUGGAUUUAACAUUAGACGAGUGGCGAACUGGUGAGUAACACGUGGGUAACCUGCCCUCAAGCAGGGGAUAACACUUGGAAACAGGUGCUAAUACCGCAUAAUUCCUUUUACCGCAUGGUAAAAGGCUGAAAGGCGCUUCUGGUGUCACUGAUGGAUGGACCCGCGGUGCAUUAGCUAGUCGGUGGGGUAACGGCCUACCGAGGCGAUGAUGCAUAGCCGACCUGAGAGGGUGAUCGGCCACAUUGGGACUGAGACACGGCCCAAACUCCUACGGGAGGCAGCAGUAGGGAAUCUUCGGCAAUGGACGAAAGUCUGACCGAGCAACGCCGCGUGAGUGAAGAAGGUUUUCGGAUCGUAAAACUCUGUUGUUAGAGAAGAACAGGAGAAGUAGUAACUGGCUUCUUUUUGACGGUAUCUAACCAGAAAGCCACGGCUAACUACGUGCCAGCCGCCGCCGUAACAC
rnacentral:rRNA from 1 species